rnacentral:rRNA from 1 species
UACGUAGGGGGCAAGCGUUGUCCGGAAUCAUUGGGCGUAAAGAGCGUGUAGGCGGCCCGAUAAGUCCGCUGUGAAAGUCCAGGGCUCAACCCUGGAAUGCCGGUGGAUACUGUCGGGCUCGAGUUCGGAUGAGGUGAGUGGAAUUCCUGGUGUAGCGGUGAAAUGCGCAGAUAUCAGGAGGAACACCAAUGGCGAAGGCAGCUCACUGGGACGAUACUGACGCUGAGACGCGAAAGCGUGGGGAGCAAACAGG